rnacentral:rRNA from 1 species
GGGACUGAGACACGGCCCAGACUCCUACGGGAGGCAGCAGUAGGGAAUCUUCCGCAAUGGACGAAAGUCUGACGGAGCAACGCCGCGUGAGUGAUGAAGGUUUUCGGAUCGUAAAACUCUGUUGUUAGGGAAGAACAAGUGCCAUAGUAACUGAUGGCACCUUGACGGUACCUAACCAGAAAGCCACGGCUAACUACGUGCCAGCAGCCGCGGUAAUACGUAGGUGGCAAGCGUUGUCCGGAAUUAUUGGGCGUAAAGCGCUCGCAGGCGGUUCUUUAAGUCUGAUGUGAAAUCUUACGGCUCAACCGUAAACGUGCAUUGGAAACUGGGGAACUUGAGUGCAGAAGAGGAGAGUGGAAUUCCACGUGUAGCGGUGAAAUGCGUAGAGAUGUGGAGGAACACCAGUUGGCGAAGGCGACUCUCUGGUCUGUAACUGACGCUGAGGAGCGAAAGCGUGGGGAGCGAACAGGAUUAGAUACCCUGGUAGUCCACGCCGUAAACGAUGAGUGCUAGGUGUUUUAAGGGGGUUUCCGCCCCUUAAUGGCUGAAGUUAACGCAUUAAGCACUCCGCCCGGGGGAGUACGGCCGCAAGGCUGAAACUCAAAAGAAUUGACGGGGGCCCGCACAAGCGGUGGAACCAUGUGGUUUAAUUCGAAGCAACGCGAAGAACCUUACCAGGUCUUGACAUCCUCUGAACACUCUAGAGAUAGAGUUUUCCCUUCGGGGACAGAGUGACAGGUGGUGCAUGGUUGUCGUCAGCUCGUGUCGUGAGAUGUUGGGUUAAGUCCCGCAACGAGCGCAACCCUUGAUCUUAGUUGCCAGCAUUCAGUUGGGCACUCUAAGGUGACUGCCGGUGACAAACCGGAAGAAAGGUGGGGGACAACGUCCAAUCAUCUUGCCCCUUUUUACCGGGG